GACCUGCUAUACACUUCUACCACAACAGGUAGGUAGAGACCUGCUAUACACUUCUACCACAACAGGUAGGUAGGUAGAGACCUGCUAUACACUUCUACCACAACAGGUAGGUGGAGACCUGCUAUACACUUCUACCACAACAGGUAGGUGGAGACCUGCUAUACACUUCUACCACAACAGGUAGGUAGGUAGAGACCUG